ACCCGUUUGUGAUCCGACUCGACCCAUUUGCCAUCCCUACCCACGGAGGCUAGGAUUUAUUAGAACGGAACUCUCUGUGGUACUCAAAAAGUAUCGCAGGUUGUUGUGCAUAUAUUGGGAUGUCCAUGAGAAAAAAGAUGAUUAUGUGAUGUUUAUCUAAACUAUUCAAAUAUUUUUGAAUUUUUUUUUUAAUUUUAAUGUACAUACGUGAGUAUAUGUGGCAUCCAUCUUUUGAUGGAUAUUUUUGAGGCAUGUAGAAUAUCUUAUGGUACUUUUUAAAUAUCAUAGAGGAUCCGUUCCUAGGUUUAUUAGCCCCCACCAAAAUACG
rnacentral:lncRNA from 1 species